rnacentral:tRNA from 3 species
GCCGAAGUGGUGGAAUGGUAGACACGCUGGUUUCAAAAACCAGUAGGGGUAACCCUGUGUGAGUUCGAAUCUCACCUUCGGCA